rnacentral:tRNA from 1 species
GGGAAUGAGUGUACGGCUGGUGCCUGCCACGGUCUUCAACACCGCUGUCCCGAUGAUAAAUCGGGAGCUGGGUUCGAUUCCCAGGCGUUCCCGCCA